GUGGGGAAUUUUGGACAAUGGGCGAAAGCCUGAUCCAGCCAUGCCGCGUGCAGGAUGAAGGCCUUCGGGUUGUAAACUGCUUUUGUACGGAACGAAAAGACUCUGGUUAAUACCUGGGGUCCAUGACGGUACCGUAAGAAUAAGCACCGGCUAACUACGUGCCAGCAGCCGCGGUAAUACAUAGGGUGCAAGCGUUAAUCGGAAUUACUGGGCGUAAAGCGUGCGCAGGCGGUUAUAUAAGACAGAUGUGAAAUCCCCGGGCUCAACCUGGGAACUGCAUUUGUGACUGUAUAGCUAGAGUACGGCAGAGGGGGAUGGAAUUCCGCGUGUAGCAGUGAAAUGCGUAGAUAUGCGGAGGAACACCGAUGGCGAAGGCAAUCCCCUGGGCCUGUACUGACGCUCAUGCACGAAAGCGUGGGGAGCAAACAGGAUUAGAUACCCUGGUAGUCC
rnacentral:rRNA from 1 species